AACCCUAAUCAAUAGACUUACGGCGUAAAACGUGUUUAGGAACAUUAAUAUAAUAAAGCCAAACUUUAGCUAUGCUGUAAAAAGCCCUAGCUACUGUAAGCCCCACUACGAAAGUGACUUUAAAUAAACUGAAUACACGACAACUAAGAUCCAAACUGGGAUUAGAUACCCCACUAUGCUUAGUCUUAAACCUAAAGGAUUAAAUAACAAAAUCCUUCGCCAGAGUACUACAAGCUAAAGCUUAAAACUCAAAGGACUUGGCGGUGCUUUAUAUCCUCCUAGAGGAGCCUGUUCUGUAAUCGAUAAACCCCGAUAAACCUCACCAGUCCUUGCCAAACU
rnacentral:rRNA from 1 species